UACGUAGGGUGCGAGCGUUGUCCGGAAUUAUUGGGCGUAAAGAGCUCGUAGGCGGUCUGUCGCGUCGAUCGUGAAAACUUGGGGCUUAACCCUGAGCUUGCGGUCGAUACGGGCAUGACUGGAGUUCGGCAGGGGAGACUGGAAUUCCUGGUGUAGCGGUGAAAUGCGCAGAUAUCGAGGAGGAACACCGGUGGUGUAGACGGCUCUCUGGACCGUAACUGACGCUGAGACACGAAAGCGUGGGUAGCAAACAGG
rnacentral:rRNA from 1 species